ensembl:lncRNA
GGAACUAAGUUUUUUGGGCAGAGACUUUUGGUUCUCUUUUUGAAAAGAAUUAUUGCGAGGGUCUAGUAGUUGAUUAGAGUAUCCAGGCAUAGCUAGAAUACAAGGAAUAAUAAUACAUAGCAACGAGUUAUUAUCGCAAUUGGAUGGAGAGAGUUGCAGAAAAAUUAAACCAGUUUGGUUUUGGACAAAUGAAUUAUUUGAAUAGUGACAAAUUUUCUUCCUUUUCUUUCCUAUCCUUUUCCCAGCUCCAGGUGUUUGUUCUGCUACAGAGCCUGUCCAUGGAAAAGAAUGUUGCUUCCAGAGUUGGAUACUUGGAAACAAAUGAAGACCAAGCACAACCACAUCUCAAAGGAGAUAAGGGACUAUGCCAAUGAUGGAUACCUAAGGAUGAUAAAACAAGUGUACAAUUGUGCUUUCCUGUCAAACCCUCACAGAUUCUCCAAGGUAUGUCUGUACUUAAAGGAGUUAUCUUAUAAGUUGUGAUGAAAAUGGUUGUGACUCCUUCCAAGACAGUGAUAUUUUCCCAGUUAUUUCUUUGCUGUGGAACCAUAAACUCACAGUGCACGGGAAGUCUUGAAGUGUAUAAGCUGUUAUGAAGCUAUAUGCAUGUAAAUACUACUUAUAUCUCCACUCCAGCAUACCAGGGAAGAGUAACUACUGCUUGAUACUAUGGUAUAGUAAACGACUCUACAGCAACUGCUGUGAAUGAACUCUUCUAAUAAGAUACUUUUUUUUUUUUCAUACCAGUCACUAAAUUUCUGAAAAAAUUGCUUUUAUUUUGAUAGACUUGAAAAUAAUUCAAACAUUGUUAUUUACUGCUUUUGUACCUUCAAUUAAGUUUUUAAAUUCUACAUUCGGUGUCAGUGAUCUCAGAUGACAGAUACAUGAGUAAUUAUAGCAAAUUUCCUUUUGAGAAGUUUUCACACAGUAGUUUCAGCAGAUGGUCAGUUCCUUUUUUAUUUCUCUGUUUUGACAUUUAUGGUGUUUUCUUUUUUUUUUUUUUUAAUUUAUUCAUUUAUUUUAGUCCUUCCCUUCCACAAUUUCAGGUCUAAUCUUUUGCUUUGAAAUCUGCCAGUCAUUUUAACUGAGAAUAGAAGCCCUCUCCAUUAUGGUGAAAGAGCCUAAUCUCCUCCUUUUUUUAGUUUCAAAGGUUCUUUGUCAAUUCGCAUUCUGUAGGAACCUCUACAGAGAUUAGGUUUUUUUUUGAAUUUGAAAUGUUUUGGAGAACAACCCAAACUAAAACCUAACAUGAAUUUUGUCAAUUUAUACAUCCAAACUGUGUGGCCCUUGAGCUGGGUGAGCAUUUUAGAAAUAUGCGCUUAUCACUCAAACCUUCCUCUGUACAUUGUCAGUGUGAAUAUUUUUAAUGCAUUCAUUGCUCCUGCUCAUUCAGGCACAUCAUUUAUGUGGCAUAGUUGGCAAGGUUUUACAAGCUAAUGCAAUUUGCAUUAAAAAUAGCUGAAAAUGGUAAUAGUCAUUAUAAUGCCUAUUUGACCAAGAACAAGUAAUGGCUUGCGAUUAAUCAGUUGUAAAAAUUGGUAAUUGUUGCACCCUCUUAAUCUUUUUCUCUCUCAACCAGAAUGAUUACACCUCGUUAAAAUCUGAAUAAAACAUCAUUAUCCUGUAUCA